rnacentral:tRNA from 1 species
GCGAAGGUGGUGUGGUUCUUCACCAGCUCGCUCACCUUGAGCGCGGGCGUCACUUCCCAGGGAAUCGUGGUGCCAUCGAUCACGCCUUUGGAC